rnacentral:lncRNA from 1 species
AUUCCGGAACGGGAAGAAGGAGCUGUCUCUCUCUUCUGAGGGGUAGGCAGGUGCUUCCGAAUCGCGGAAUGUAGGUGCUCAUAAGCUGGAGACCCACGGAAAGAACCUAGAAGCUCCGAGCGGUUGCAGACAGCACUGCAUUGAGCCAACGACUCCUGCUCUACUGAUGGUGAUUCCACAGCUUUGUGAGGAAUAAGUUAAGAUGAAUUACAGUUUCCCCUGGACUUCUUUCUCUCUCCUGCCGCCUUGUGAAGAAGGUGCCUGCCUCCCCUUCCACCACGAUUCUAAGUUUCCUGAAGUCUCCCCAGCCAUGCUGAACUAAUGUUAUCUUAUCUGGAAGAAGAGGAAUAGGAAAGAAAAGGAGUCAGGAAUGGAUCUUACUCAGAAGGCUGACUAGACACAGCCAGGUGGAAGAGCUCCCACUGCGGGACCAAGAUGACUGGAAUGCCCCUAACAGAUCUUCAGAGGGAAGAAACCAGGAGUGGACAGAGAGAAGACACAGAAGCUGGGCUGAAGGUAGUGAAAGCUGGGAAUGUGGCACAGGACUACUGCACACCAGGUUUUGUUCCUGGCCCACAAUGGCUCUGGGGGAUCAGGUUGAAGGAAAAUUACCCUGGAUGGAAGAUCAGAGGUAUAGAAAGAAAUGGAGAGCAAAGAAAGAGGCUCUGCCUUGCCCCUUGUGGCACCUGGGAGAUGACGGAGUUGAACAUCCAGUAGCACUGCCAGGUGUAGCACUGCGGGUAUCAAGGUGAUUGGGGAAUCCCCAUCCUUGGUCACAUGAGACCUGAGCCCUGCUUUGGCUCCAUGGAUGGCAGCAGUGGGUUUUCCUCCAUUUGUAUGUUAUGGUUGUUUAGGAAUAUUUUGCCUUGAAUACAAAUCCAGGAGUCUCAUGGUUGUUCUGAGGUGACUGUAAUCAAUGAGGACUAAAAACAGAUAAACAUGUGUCUUAUCCAUUCAUUCAAG